rnacentral:lncRNA from 1 species
CUCUGCUCCAGGUCUUAAGUGCCCCUGUCACUGCAAAGAAUUUCCCUAAUGUUCAGCCCAAGUCUUCCUUGUCCAACACAAACAUGACACUGUUCAGAGGUAGGAUAUUAAGGGCUGGAGUCGCUCCCAUAAUAACGUAUUGAUUUCAAUGAAGCCAAGCUCAAUGGGGAGGAGUCUGUCCAGCCUUGCUCCAUCCCCCUCGUGCCCCAAGAGAACGUUUUGUGUUAGACUAAAUGCCUCUGUAAGUGCCUCUCAGUUCUGCACUCAUUGUGAGCCGUUCUGUGUAGACACAUUGAAGCAGGCAGGGCGCAGGAUCAGGCCAGUAAUCACAUUUCCUUUUGGCAGUAGGUAUUUUAUCAGCCUUGGUCUCCCUGGGCUGUUUGAACCGCGUGGCUGUCUGGCUCUCCUGAGCAGAUCUCAUAGCCCAGGCAGGCAGGAGUUCUUCCACCAGCCACCUCAGAUAAAGCAACCCAUGCACACCAGAGGCUGUGGCAGUGGGACAGUUGUGGACAUCUGGCAGGCACGUAGGGGUCACGUCAGCAGGCACGGCAGUCGCUCAGUGACCACCAGCAGCAUCUGGGAUCUUGAAGCAGAGAAGAUCCAUCAUUUGGUGACCAUCUGUUGCAGUUAUUUCUGCCCUACAACAUCUGCAGGGUGGAAUCCUGCAUCCAGCUCCCAGCAUAUACCAGCUACCAGCAUCUUUAUCUUUCUUUCUAGCUGGGAAAGGGAUCUCCUUGACAAGGAGGGGAGCACAGAUACUAACAGGAUGCCAUGGGUCCUCAGGACUAACAUUUACAUCUCUAGUUCUCACUGGCCAAAUCCUCUUGCCUCUAUAUUUUUUUUGUCCUGUGGGAAGGCAGGGAUUUACAGCCAGGGAGCAGCAGCUUUUUUUUUGACAGGCAAAGCAGGAAAAAGUGACCCAAAAGGUGCCAGAGGAACAGAACCUAGAUUCCUGAAGUCCCACUCAUUAAAAAUUGUUGCCUCUUGUUUCUGUCUGUGCCUGUUUUGUGGACACAGAUGUUGUUUUAUUCUCACAUGGUGA